GGCCUCCCGAGGACGCCCCCACUGACCAGCCCGGCCGUGAAGCUGGGGACCUUCCCGCGUGGCCGGGCUUCGCCGCGCAGGAGGAGACUCCACGCGAGGAGAGGUCCGCUCCGCUGCGCGCUCGCCUGCACAGGGCCCGGCCCCAGCUCAGCUCAGGCCCAGCACAGGCCCCACGGCGGCCCGAAGCCCUGCAGAGGCGAGGCCGGCGGCCCAGCCUUCAGUGACUGCUCGGCCCUCACCCGGCACCCGAGGGUCCACGCGGGGGCGAAGCCCUGCACUUGCAGCGCCUGCGGGAAGACCUUCCACCACAGCUCCGCCCUCGGGGUCCCCCCGAGGGCCCAGGUCGCCGUCCUGCGGUGCCCGGGAAGCCCCCAGCGCAGUGCAGCGGUUCCCAAAGGGGCGAAGGGCCUGGAGGGGGCUGGACAGCCCCCUGGAGCCACACGGCGCCUAAGGACAGGCGCCGGUGCUGUCUGCAAACAAGUCUUCAUCUGGGGCCAGGAGGAGGCCCCGAGGAGGGUAGAGCUAUGGAGGCCCGCUGGAGAAGCUUCCAGAAGGCUCCUGCCACCCUCCCUGCCCCACUCAAGCCCAUCUCAGAGAGGACAGCUGAGCCGAGGUCGUGCCUCGUCCUCUGGGCCAGGCUGCUCUCAGGACUCAGGGGCCCCGGACGCCUGGGGCAGCGAGACUCCGGCGCCACGUCCCCCGUGGCGUCUCACUGUUCCUCUCCUGCGCGGCCACCUCUGUGCCACCUGCUCGUGUCCAACUCCAAGCCCCGCGUGUGAGGCCGCCUCUUCCCUGAGGCCCGCUCCAGACCCGGUCCUGACUCAGGCGACCGCUUGCCCAGUGCCACCUCUCCCUGCCCCCGUGCCCGCCGCAUCCCACGAGUCACCAGCCCUGUUGGUUUUACUUAAAACCGCCUCCGACUGGCUUCUCCACACCCCCCCCACCCCACACAUCCCCAUUAGACACACACCACACACACACCCCAGACACACACAUACACCACACAUCCCCAGACACUUAGACACACUCACACACACACACCCCAGACACACAGACCCCACACAUCCCCCACACACACCCCCAGACAGUUACACACACACCACACAUCCCCCACAAACCCCCCAGACACUUACACACCACACAUCCCUCACACACACACCCCGACACUUACACACACACACCACAUCCCCCUCCACACACCCCCCAACACUUACACAGACACCACACAUCCCACACCCCCACUUACACACACACCACACAUCCCCACACACACACCCCAACACACACACACCACACAUCCCCACACACACACCCCACAUCCCCCACACACACACCCCAGACACUUACACACACACCACACAUCCCCCUCCACACACCCCCAACACUUACACAGACACCACACAUCCCCACACCCCCCACUUACACACACACCACACAUCCCCACACACACACCCCAACACACACACACCACACAUCCCCACACACACACCCCACAUCCCCCAGACACACACCCCCCCACGUGCAGUGCUCACCGAGCUUGCCGCUGGUUUCCGCAAGGACAGCGCGAGCUUCCCGGAGCAGGGGCCGCUUCUUCUCUCGGGGCCGCAGCCCGCGCCCCCGCAGGCCCUGUCUGCCAACUCCCGUCCUGGAGGCUCCCCCUCGUGGCUGCGCCCACGUCCCCAGCAGGAGAGACAACAGGGCAGAGCCGGUCCGACUGCCCCAGGGCCCCGGGCCUCAGACAAGCCUGGCGGGCAGUGGUGGCCUCCGUGCGCUGUCGCUGCGCUGCGUCUGCCCCUUCCGUGGCCCCAGGGCCCCCAGCGCCGCGGCCGCCUCCCCGUCGUGUGCCCCUGUCCCUCGGCCUCGGCUCCCGUCAGGCCGUCCGCCUGCGGCCCUCCGUUUCUGUGGGGAGCCCACCGCAUGUGA
rnacentral:lncRNA from 1 species